rnacentral:rRNA from 1 species
AACGUAGGAGACAAACGUUAUCCGGAGUUACUGGGCGUAAAGGGCGUGUAGGCGGUCUGUUAAGUCUGGCGUGAAAGCUCUCGGCUAAACCGGGAGAGGUCGUUGGAUACUGGCAGACUAGAGGACGGUAGAGGCGUGUGGAAUUCCGGGUGUAGUGGUGAAAUGCGUAGAGAUCCGGAGGAACACCAGUGGCGAAGGCGACACGCUGGGCCGUACCUGACACUGAUGCGCGACAGCAUGGGGAGCAAACAGG